GCGCUGAUGGUGUAAGGCGAACAUCGCUGCCCGGAAAGCAGAAGAUGCGGGUUCGAGUCCCGCCUGGCGCA
rnacentral:tRNA from 1 species